UACAGAGGUCUCAAGCGUUGUUCGGAUUCAUUGGGCGUAAAGGGUGCGUAGGCGGCGUGGUAAGUCGGGUGUGGAAUCUCGGAGCUUAACUCCGAAACUGCAUUCGAUACUGCCGUGCUUGAGGACUGGAGAGGAGACUGGAAUUUACGGUGUAGCGGUGAAAUGCGUAGAUAUCGUAAGGAAGACCAGUGGCGAAGGCGGGUCUCUGGACAGUUCCUGACGCUGAGGCACGAAGGCCAGGGGAGCAAACAGG
rnacentral:rRNA from 1 species